GACGAACGCUGGCGGCGUGCUUAACACAUGCAAGUCGAACGGAAAGGCCCUGCUUUUGUGGGGUGCUCGAGUGGCGAACGGGUGAGUAACACGUGAGUAACCUGCCCUUGACUUUGGGAUAACUUCAGGAAACUGGGGCUAAUACCGGAUAGGAGCUCCUGCUGCAUGGUGGGGGUUGGAAAGUUUCGGCGGUUGGGGAUGGACUCGCGGCUUAUCAGCUUGUUGGUGGGGUAGUGGCUUACCAAGGCUUCGACGGGUAGCCGGCCUGAGAGGGUGACCGGCCACAUUGGGACUGCGAUACGGCCCAGACUCCUACGGGAGGCAGCAGUGGGGAAUAUUGCACAAUGGGCGGAAGCCUGAUGCAGCAACGCCGCGUGCGGGAUGACGGCCUUCGGGUUGUAAACCGCUUUCGCCUGUGACGAAGCGUGAGUGACGGUAAUGGGUAAAGAAGCACCGGCUAACUACGUG
rnacentral:rRNA from 1 species